GAUGUCUGCAGAUGGGUUUGGGAUGUGUCCAGGUGGGGUUGGGAUGUCUCCAGACAGGGAGACUCCACACCCUCCCUGGGCAGCUGUUCCAGGCUCUGCCACCUCCAUGGACAGAAGU